UACGCAGGGUGCAAGCGUUACUCGGAAUUACUGGGCGUAAAGCGUGCGUAGGUGGUUUGUUAAGUCUGUUGUGAAAGCCCCGGGCUCAACCUGGGAAUUGCAUUCGAGACUGCGUAGCUAGGGUGCGGAAGAGGGAAGCGGAAUUUCCGGUGUAGCGGUGAAAUGCGUAGAUAUCGGAAGGAACACCAGUGGCGAAAGCGGCUUCCUGGUCCAGCACCGACGUUCAGGCACGAAAGCGUGGGGAGCAAACAGG
rnacentral:rRNA from 1 species